CGAUACACCCAAAGAACCUAUCUCUUUCUUUUUGCCUCUCAAAGAUAAAAAUAUUCAUUACCCCAAAAUCUUCUCUUCCACUCCUAAAAUCCAAAACCAACACCAGAAAUAUAAAGAUCUUUCAACUUCUAAUAUCUUUCAACUCCUUAUAGAUUCAUCUCAAGGACAAUUGCUAACCUUCCCCAAAUCCCCAAAUCCCCAAAUUCCAAAAUCAAUUUUAUGCUCGAAUUAGAGAAGCCGUCAAAAUGAAUGUGUUAUUAAUGUGGGUCGUCUUCUACUGGAGUUUCAAGUGAUAUUGGUAUUGUUGAUAGUCCUUCUUCUUUGGAUUGGAGAGAGAAAUGAGCUGUUACUAAAGUCAAAAAUCAAGGUGGAAAAAAUGAUGAAAAGAAAGUCGAAAGCGAUGAAGAUCUAGACCUUACUUAAGAAGAUUUUGGAAUUGUUGCUGAAACUUUAGAUAUUCAAGGAAUCUUUUUUUAUCGAACCUUUUGGAACUUUGAAUUGUUAAACUUAUGAACUUUGGUUAGAACAUUUUUUUUUGUGGGUAUUACUAAUUUGUUGGAUAAUUAAUUUGGUUUGUGAAUGUUUAUGAAUACUUUCACUUUGAAAAUUAUACAAAUUUUAU